rnacentral:rRNA from 1 species
CCUACGGGAGGCAGCAGUGGGGAAUAUUGCACAAUGGGCGAGAGCCUGAACCAGCCAAGUCGCGUGAGGGAUGAAGGAUCUAUGGUUUGUAAACUUCUUUUAUAUGGGAAUAAAGUGCGGCACGUGUUCCUUUUUGUAUGUACCAUAUGAAUAAGCAUCGGCUAAAUCCGUGCCAGCAGCCGCGGUAAUACGGAGGAUGCGAGCGUUAUCCGGAUUUAUUGGGGUUAAAGGGUGCGUAGUUGGUUAAUUAAGUCAGCGGUGAAAGUUUGUGGCUCAACCCUAAAAGUGCCGUUGAAACUGGUGGACCUGAGGAGAGGUGAGGUAGGCGGAAUGCGUGGGGUAGAGGUGAAA